AGUGAACGCUGGCGGUAGGCCUAACACAUGCAAGUCGAACGGCAGCACAGUAAGAGCUUGCUCUUACGGGUGGCGAGUGGCGGACGGGUGAGGAAUACAUCGGAAUCUACUUUUUCGUGGGGGAUAACGUAGGGAAACUUACGCUAAUACCGCAUACGACCUACGGGUGAAAGCAGGGGAUCUUCGGACCUUGCGCGAUUGAAUGAGCCGAUGUCGGAUUAGCUAGUUGGCGGGGUAAAGGCCCACCAAGGCGACGAUCCGUAGCUGGUCUGAGAGGAUGACCACCCACACGGGACCUGGAACCCGGCCCAGCUCCCUCGGGAAGGAACAAGUGGGAAAAUUUGGCCAAUGGGGGAAAGCUUGACCAAGCCAUACGCGGUGGGUGAAGAAGGCUUUCGGGUGGUAAGCCCUUUUGUUGGGAAAGAAAAGCAGCAGGUUAAUACCCCGCUGUUCUGACGGUACCCAAAGAAUAAGCACCGGCUAACUUCGUG
rnacentral:rRNA from 1 species